UGGUUCUUGCUUCAACAGUGUUUGGAUAGAACUUA
rfam:Monodelphis domestica chromosome 4, whole genome shotgun sequence.